CAGCCGCCGCGGUAAUACGGAGGAUCCAAGCGUUAUCCGGAAUCAUUGGGUUUAAAGGGUCCGUAGGCGGGUGUGUCAGUCAGUGGUGAAAGUCUGCAGCUCAACUGUAGAACUGCCAUUGAUACUGCAUACCUUGAGUAAUUAUGAAGUGGUUAGAAUAUGUAGUGUAGCGGUGAAAUGCAUAGAUAUUACAUAGAAUACCGAUUGCGAAGGCAGAUCACUAAUAAUUUACUGACGCUGAUGGACGAAAGCGUAGGUAGCGAACAGGAUUAGAUACCCUGGUAGUCUACGCCGUAAACGAUGGUUACUAGCUGUUUGGCUCGAUUGAGAGCUGAGUGGCUAAGCGAAAGUGAUAAGUAACCCACCUGGGGAGUACGUUCGCAAGAAUGAAACUUAAAGGAAUUGGCGGG
rnacentral:rRNA from 1 species